CCUACGGGCGGCAGCAGUGAGGAAUAUUGGUCAAUGGGCGCGAGCCUGAACCAGCCAAGUAGCGUGCAGGAUGACUGCCCUACGGGUUGUAAGCUUCUUUUUUAAAGGAAUAAAGUGAGGCACGUGUGCCUUUUUGUAUGUACUUUAUGAUUAAGGAUCGGCUAACUCCGUGCCAGCAGCCGCGGUAAUACGAAGGAUCCGUGCGUUAUCCUGAUUUAUUGGGUUUAAAGUUAGCGUAGAGGGGUUGUUAAGUCAGGUGUGAAAGUUUGCGGCUCAACCGUAAAAUUGCAAUUGAUACUGGCAGCCUUGAGUACAGUUGAGGUAGGCGGAAUUCGUGGUGUAGCGGUGAAAUGCUUAGAUAUAACGAAGAACACCGAUUGCGAAGGCAGCUUACUAAACUGCCACUGACAUUGAUGCUCGAAAGUGUGGGUAUCAAACAGGAUUAGAUACCCCAGUAGUC
rnacentral:rRNA from 1 species